GUGCUUAGUUGAGCAGCACAUACACUAAGAUUGGAGCCGUACAGAGAGGAUUAGCGUGGCCCCCGUGCAACGAUGACACGGAAAUUCAUGAAGCGCUCCAAAUUUUU
ensembl:snRNA U6 U6 spliceosomal RNA